rnacentral:rRNA from 1 species
UACGUAGGUGGCAAGCGUUGUUCGGAAUUACUGGGCGUAAAGCGCGCGUAGGCGGCUCUUCAAGUCAGGCGUGAAAGCCCCGAGCUUAACUCGGGAACUGCGCUUGAUACUGUCGAGCUAGAGUGUGGAAGGGGCGAUUGGAAUUCCGUGUGUAGCGGUGAAAUGCGUAGAUAUACGGAGGAACACCAGAGGCGAAGGCGGAUGGCUGGGCCAACACUGACGCUGAGGCGCGAAAGCCAGGGGAGCGAACGGG